CUCCACUACUCAAUUAUGCAACAACACAUAUUGUUCCAGCCAUCAAGUCUUUUCUUCCCUCACCAAAACGUGCAGAAGAAGUUGAGAAAGGGAGAGAGAGUUUCCUCCAACUCCAAAUUGUAACUUGAAGAGGUCAAGCACGAGAUUAAUAAUCAGUCAAGGAGCUACUGUACCACAGAAAGUUUCUAACAGGUUGAGCAGCUGCCGUUGUUGAUGAAGUGACGAGCGGGAUUCUUUUGUCUUAUUAUGUAUUAAAGAACUCUAGGGUUACAUGUCUUCAUACAUGUAAUCAGAAUCAUAUUCCGCUGCGUACUCAGAAGUUUUAUGUUUAUUUGGCUAUGUCAGAGAUAUCUGAACUUACUAGUUAUUUGAGUCUAUACGACUAAACUUCUGUUAUAUUAUAAAUAUCCCUUUUGUUAAAUGAUGAAAUGUGAUCCUUCCUUGUUUAUUUAUCCC